rnacentral:ncRNA from 12 species
GAGAAUCGGGUCUGUGGUUGCAAGCCGAUGCCAGUCGCAGGCAAAACGGUCCACGUAAGUCAGCCAAAGCGCUGAUGAGCAUGGUGCGGUUUAGAAGUCAGUCCGACCGGGAUUCUUCCCGAGAGAGCGGCGUGAGGGCGUUUCCUACGCAGAGCAAAGCUCCAGUCGGCGGGUGUGGGGUCAAAGACCAGGUCAGCCGGUCAC